rnacentral:rRNA from 1 species
AUGGAUGAGCCUGUGUGGAAGGGUGUGCAGAUCUUGGUUGUAGUGGCAAUUGGUGAUCAUUGCAGACGACUGAAUUG